rnacentral:rRNA from 1 species
UACGUAGGGGGCGAGCGUUGUCCGGAGUUACUGGGCGUAAAGCGCUUGUAGGCGGUCCACCAAGUUUGGGGUGACAGUUGCCGACUUAAUCGGCAAAGUGCCUCAAAGACUGGCGGACUUGAGGGCCACAGAGGGACAUGGAACUCCAGGUGUAGUGGUGAAAUGCGUAGAUAUCUGGAAGAACACCAAAGGCGAAGGCAGUGUCCUGGGUGGUCGCUGACGCUGAGACGCGAAAGCCAGGGGAGCGAACGGG